CUGGUGUGUGAAUCGGCGUUGUCCUCGCAUUUCGCCUUAGGGUUUGCGGUCACCUUCGAAUGGCAAAUUCCCAUGGAUUUGGAACCCUAGGAGCACAAUCGAAAGGGGAUAAUCAAUCACUGAGAUGAAGGAGAUUCUUCCAUUGGAGAGAGACCUCGAAGGUAAUCCCAACAAGAAUCACUACAAGACGAACAUCAUGGGAGCAGAAAUCAAGGCAAAGAACAAGCAAAGAAGGAAACCAGAACACGUUAAUGAGGCCCAGGUGAGACAGAACAUAAUACAAAAUUCUAUAUUUCAUUGCAACUUACAAGUUUAAUACUCAAAUUUCUGAUGAUUGUGUGUCCCUAUGCUUUAUAAAUUACUAUACUUUUGGACCCA